AGAACGAAAGAAAGAAAAGAAAGAAAAGAAAGAAAAUGGAAAGAAGAAGAAGAAGUGUCUUCUUCUUGCAAGAACUUUUUUUCUUUGCUCUCUUUUUUUUGGGGGGGUCCUUUUUCAAUGACCCUUUUUAUCCUGAUUCUUGGUAUUUGCACAAUAUUGAUUAUCAACCUCAAGUAAGCAUCAAUGCGCUCCCAGCUUGGGAAUUGGCCACGGGAAAAGGAAUCACAAUUGGUUUU
rnacentral:ribozyme from 13 species